UACGUAGGGGGCGAGCGUUGUCCGGAAUCAUUGGGCGUAAAGCGCGUGUAGGCGGCCCGGUAAGUCCGCUGUGAAAGUCCAGGCUCAACCCUGGGAUGCCGGUGGAUACUGUCGGGCUCGAGUCCGGAAGAGGCGAGUGGAAUCCUGGUGUAGCGGUGAAAUGCGCAGAUAUCAGGAGGAACACCGGUGGCGAAGGCGGGAUCUCUGGGCAGUAACUGACGCUGAGGAGCGAAAGCGUGGGGAGCGAACAGG
rnacentral:rRNA from 1 species